rnacentral:pre_miRNA from 1 species
AAUGGGAUGGCUGGGUCAAAUGGUGGUUCCAUUCCAAGUUUUCUAAGAAAUCUCUAGGCUGCUUUCUAGAUUGGUAGCACCAAUUUGCAGUCCCACCAGCAAU